rnacentral:rRNA from 1 species
UACGUAGGUGGCAAGCGUUGUCCGGAUUUACUGGGCGUAAAGCGCGCGCAGGCGGUCGGACAAGUCGGGUGUGAAAGCCCCCGGCUCAACUGGGGAGGGUCACGCGAUACUGUUCGACUCGAAGGCAGGAGAGGGAAGUGGAAUUCCCGGUGUAGUGGUGAAAUGCGUAGAUAUCGGGAGGAACACCAGUGGCGAAGGCGACUUCCUGGCCUGUUCUUGACGCUGAGGCGCGAAAGCGUGGGGAGCAAACAGG